ACUCCUACGGGAGGCAGCAGUGAGGAAUAUUGGUCAAUGGGCGGAAGCCUGAACCAGCCAUCCCGCGUGAAGGACGACGGCCCUAUGGGUUGUAAACUUCUUUUGUACGGGAAGCACGUGCGCUAUGUAUAGCGUAUUGACGGUACCGUACGAAUAAGCAUCGGCUAACUCCGUGCCAGCAGCCGCGGUAAUACGGAGGAUGCGAGCGUUAUCCGGAUUCAUUGGGUUUAAAGGGUGCGUAGGCGGCCCGGUAAGUCAGCGGUGAAAGUUUGCGGCUCAACCGUAAAAUUGCCGUUGAUACUGUCGGGCUUGAGUUCAGAUGAAGUGGGCGGAAUGAGUAGUGUAGCGGUGAAAUGCUUAGAUAUUACUCAGAACACCGAUUGCGAAGGCAGCCCACUAAACUGCGACUGACGCUGAUGCACGAAAGCGUGGGGAUCGAACAGGAUUAGAUACCCUGGUAGUC
rnacentral:rRNA from 1 species